rnacentral:sRNA from 1 species
AGUUGCUCCGGCGGCGCGCGGGAAGGGAGCCAGCAGCCUAGGGCCCAGGCCCGGGCCACCAUGGCGCUGCCUCCGGGCCCAGCCGCCCUCCGGCACACACUGCUGCUCCUGCCAGCCCUUCUGAGCUCAGGUACACCCCUGUUCAGUCGUUGACCAAGUCCUUCUGGGUUCCAAAGCCCCCUCUCUCCCCUGUCUGCACUUCUGUUUGGGUACCCACUCCAGGCCCCAAGCCCUGGAGUCCCUGUCCCCUUCACCCACCUACCCUAGGUCCAACCAGCCAGUCCCUGGUGAGAGGACUCAGGCGCCCUUUCCUUUGGCCUGCUGCUUCUCUCACUGGGCCAAUUCCUGGUCACAGCACAGUACCAACUGUGCCUGAGCCCUUCCCAGAGGCCCCCUGCUGUGUUCCAGGUUGGGGGGAGUUGGAGCCACAAAUAGAUGGUCAGACCUGGGCUGAGCGGGCCUUCUCUGGAGGCACCAGCACCUUCACUGUCACUGCCCAUCGGGCCCAGCAUGAGCUCAACUGCUCCCUGCAGGACCCCAGCAGUGGCCGAUCAG